AGUAGGUGAUUGGAAACAUUUAUUUUUAGCCAAUUUUGCAAAAUUAAAAGACCAAAGACAUUGUCAAACUAGUAGAGUGAGCCUAAUAUGCCUUAAAUGAAUAAAGAGGAUUCAAAUGAGAAAUACAAGAAAAUACAAAUAGUAGAUGAUGCAUUUAGUUAGCAAUGAUUUGUUGUUUAAACAAAAAUAUUGUUUUGGAUCAACUUGUUCUCAACCAAAUUAUUUUGGAUCCAGUGAUCUGACACACAAAAUGCAAAUGAGGAAGGGAUGCAAGCCAAUGAUCCAGAAUAGGAUCAGAUUUUCCAACGGCAUAAUGUAAACUUUGUCCAAAGGCUCAUGGGACUUUCAGUGGGUGGAUUUAAUGUUGUGGGGGGAGGGGGGGCAGUGCAAGAGGAGGGAUAAAGGGUCAGUGCUGCCAGGACUUGUCUAGUCCUUCCACACCCUCUAAUCAUGAUCUGCAGGCUCUUUGCAGCCUGAAAGAUCCUCUGACUGAUAAUAUUGUGGCUCUGAUAAUCCUAUGACAUUACUAACUCCUGGUUGCUCCAAGAAACUUUCCUUCUUUAUCAAAUUCCAAGCUUCUCCAUAAGGAAGGCUGUAGCAGGAACAGAGAGAUGUAUGCAGUACUGAAAACAGCAGUGGCAGAAAUGAUUCAAAGCUUUCUUGCCUUCUAAGAACACCAAAAAUUAAAUUUAUUUAAGAAUAAAUAUCCUGAGACUGCUGGGAGGGAGAAAAGGGCAUAGAGACUUGUUUUAGAAACAUGAUUUAUCAGGCAAACUGCGCACUGUCCCCUUUUUAAUGGCUCAGGAUGUUGCAGAAGAAUGGAACAUUAGUAUAUUAUGCUGAAAUUUUGGUUGGGCGCGGUGGUGCAAAGAGUGAUAUAAAUGAAAUAUAGAUCCAGCUUAAAUCAAUUCGGAAAGCAAAAUGCUAGAAGGCUCUUCUUUUUCCAGGCUCUGAGCCCCAUCCCCAAUUCUCAUCCAGCGGCACCCCCAUUGCUGAGAAGCUUCCCAGGCUCUGUCGCUGGGCCCUCUGAUAAUAACCCCCUGGACACACACCCACUUCAGGGCGUGUAGGUGCGUCUGCACGCGUGCGCGCGCACACACGCACACACACACACACACACAAACACACACUCAUCCUCUUCAUGGAAAGCUCUUUCUCUUCUGGCUUGGAAUGAAACCUAGCUCUCUCCAUAAGAGUCUCUGGAAACUCAUAAGCAUCCCCAGGGCCAGGGAUGCGUGAGGAUGGAGCAGGGUGGCGAGCAGAGGGAAGUGAUGGCCCCUCCUCUCUCCACCCUCACAGGCUCCAUCUUCAUGCCAGAGCCCUAACUCCUCUAAGGCCCCUGCCAUUCAGCAAUUUCGCUGCCAGUGGUGUUAACGUCAAGGCCACCAGUCCUGCUUCUCAGCGAGAUAGUAUGGGAAUGGGACGUGGCUUCUACUUCAUGUUGUUUUUGUUUUCUUUUUGUUUUGUUUUGUUUGUUUGUUUUUUUUGAAAGACUUCACCUGCUUUUUAUUGUGUUCUCUCUCUCCAAAACUAAGAUAUUUUACGUAUUUUCUAAUUGGUUCUAGAUUUCUUUUUCUUUUUUUUUUUUUCUCUUUUUUUUCUUUUUCUUUUUUUUUUUUUUUAUUGAUCAUUCUUGGGUGUUUCUCGCAGAGGGGAUUUGGCAGGGUCAUAGGACAAUAGUGGAGGGAAGGUCAGCAGACAAACAAGUGACCAAAGGUCUCCGGUUUUCCUAGGCAGAGUGUUUGUGUCCCUGGGUACUUGAGAUUAGGGAGUGGUGAUGACUCUUAACGAGCAUGCUGCCUUCAAGC
rnacentral:lncRNA from 10 species